ensembl:lncRNA
GGCUAGAGGCUCCUCCCACUCUCUCCCCGGGCGGGAGGCUCCGCCUUCCCACCUCCCGCCCUCCCCCUGUUUCGUUCACCUUCGAUUUCAGUCUGGGAAGCCGCGGGGAUCCAGGGGCGACGGCUGGAAAACAGCCCAAAGAGGUAGCUGGAGUGCGCCCUGGGCGCGGGAAAAAUGAGACCGGGAGGACGCGGUCGCUCGCUCCGCUGCUGCCUGGCGGCGCCUGACACCAGCGGGAUCUCAACCCCGGGCGCUGCGUGUGCCAAGCGAUGCCAGGCACCGAAUGGAAGGCAUCCAACAUGAUGAAAUAUUGUGUAGAAGAAUGGUCUGUGUAGAACGAGGUCUGGGUACUAAAGUUGCAAGACCGAAGAGGACCGUGGGCUGCCGGCCACACCUCUUCUCUACUUGGCCUUUCCGGCUGGAUGAGCGGCUCGCUUGGACCACGAAGUACACUGCUGCAGCGCCCCCUGCUGCUUAGCAUCCGCAAAGCAUUAAAAAACUGACCCGGAGAGGCCGACUUCCCCUCUCCCCCGCCUCUCAAACCUAACCAGCACCUACCCAGCAAGUUCUCCAAAACGGCGUGGAGAAAUUGAUCACCGCCCCGCCACCCCCAUCCCCAGGAUGUCUGGCAGUGGCCUGAAAGUCAAGUACCGUGAUUUGAGUGUCUGCAAAACAAAGCCCACUGUCAAAAAGUUUGCCCCAUCAAAGGUCCUCUCUGUCUCUCCAUCGCACUUACCUGUUGACACUGGAUCCUAGGACACUGGAAGAUCAAGCUUCUCUAGAAUCAGAUGCCUGAGUGGUUCCCUGGUGGCUCAGAUGGUAAUAAAUCUGCCUUCAAUGCAGAAGACCUGGGUUCCAUCCCUGGGUCAGGAAGAUUCUCUGGAGAAGGGAAUGGCUACUCACUCCAGUAUUCUUGCCUGGAGAACUCCAUGGGCUAGAGGAGCCUGGCCAGCUACAGCUCAUAGACUUGCAAAGAGUUGGACAUCACUGAGUGACUAACACUUUCACUUUCAUUAUCUCCAACUUCCUCUUAUCCUUUAGGCUGUCAAUUAAUACAUUUACCUCCAAAACACAUCUCAUCACAUCCACACUGCUGCAGUCCUCAUCCAAGCUACCCAUGUUCCCAUCGUGGACUAAUGCAGAAGCUUUCCAAGUGGUCUCCUUGCUUCUACUGUAAUUUCCACCGCUCCUCAGUUAUAACUUCAGGUAUUAAAGGAUUCUUUUGAAACCCUAUGAACUCCCUGCUUAGGGGAGAAAAAAAAAUGUUCAGUGACUUCUUGUUAUACGUAGAAUAAAACCCAAAUCCUUACCACGACCAGCAAGCCUCCAUCUGGUCCCGUGACU